rnacentral:rRNA from 1 species
AGAGAGAGACAUGCGCGCAUAUCAAUAAGCGGAGGAAAAGAAACUAACAAGGAUUCCCUUAGUAACGGCGAGUGAAGCGGGAAGAGCUCAAAUUUGAAAUCUUCAAGGUUCUACCUUGACGAAUUGUAGUUUAUAGAAGUGUUUUCUGUUAGUAGGAGUGGCAAAAGUUCUUUGGAAUAGGACAUCAUAGAGGGUGAGAAUCCCGUAUUUGGUCAUUCCUCCUAGCGUUGUGAUACACUUUCAACGAGUCGGAUUGUUUGGGAAUGCAGUCCAAAAUGGGUGGUAAAUUUCAUCUAAAGCUAAAUAUUGCGAGAGACCGAUAGCGAACAAGUACCGUGAGGGAAAGAUGAAAAGAACUUUGAAAAGAGAGUUAAACAGUACGUGAAAUUGUCAAAAGGGAAGCGUUUGACACCAGUGUUGUUUAGUUGAAAAUCAAUUCAAUAGUUUUUGAUUCUAAGUAGUAUCGACUUCAUCAGCUUGCUGCUUUCUUCUCAGAAAUUAUUGAAUGCACUUUUCAGUUAACAAGUCGACAUCAAUUUCUUUUGUUGUAAAAGGGUAAGAGGAAGGUGGCUUGCGCUUCGGCUCAAGUGUUUAUAGCCUUUUAUCUCUGCAAUCGGAGAGAUUGAGGUCUGCAGCGUAGAUCCUUCGGGGUUAGAUACAUUGGUGCUAAGCUAUAGCCUUGUAUAGACAACUUGUUGACUAUGCUCAGUCAUGUAGCUUACUCGCUGAUGCUAUUUUACCUACGCUUAGGAUGUUGAUAGUCACAGCGUGUAC